AGAGUUUGAUCCUGGCUCAGGACGAACGCUGGCGGCGUGGAUUAGGCAUGCAAGUCGGGGGAAUCCCAGCAAUGGGGGAACCGGCGUAAGGGGCAGUAAUGUGUGGGUACCUACCUUUGGGUUCGGGAUAGCCAUCAGAGAUGGUGGGUAAUACCGGAUGAUGUCGUGAGACCAAAGAUUUAUCGCCCGAAGAGGGGCCCACAUGAUAUUAGCUAGUUGGUGAGGUAACGGCUCACCAAGGCGAAGAUGUCUAGCGGGUGUGAGAGCACGACCCGCGCCACUCGCACUGAGACACUGGCGAGACACCUACGGGUGGCUGCAGUCGAGGAUCUUCGGCAAUGAGCGCAAGCUUGACCGAGCGACGCCGCGUGAGCGACGAAGGCCUUCGGGUUGUAAAGCUCUUUAGUGGGGGAGAAAAGCCCGCAAGGGUGUGAUCUAUCCCAAAAAUAAGCACGGGCUAAGUUCGUGCCAGCAGCCGCGGUAAGACGAACCGUGCGAACGUUGUUCGGAAUCACUGGGCUUAAAGGGAGCGUAGGCGGGCUAUCAAGUCUGGGGUGAAAUGCCACGGCUCAACCGUGGAACUGCCUCGGAUACUGACGGCCUCGAGGGAGAUAGGGGCAUGCGGAACUGUAGGUGGAGCGGUGAAAUGCGUUGAUAUCUACAGGAACUCCGGUGGCGAAAGCGGCGUGCUGGAUCUCUUCUGACGCUGAGGCUCGAAAGCUAGGGGAGCAAACGGGAUUAGAUACCCUGGUAGUCC
rnacentral:rRNA from 1 species